GACGAACGCUGGCGGCGUGCUUAACACAUGCAAGUCGAACGAAGUGGCGAACGGGUGAGUAACGCGUAAUCAACCUGCCCUUAAGGGGGGUACAACAGUUGGAAACGACUGCUAAUACCGCAUACUGAAGGGGGGGAUUGCGUCUGAUUAGCUAGUUGGAGGGGGAACGGCCCACCAAGGCGAAGAUCAGUAGCCGGUCUGAGAGGAUGGACCGCCAAAUUGGGACUGGGACCCGGGCCAGACUCCUACGGGGGGGAGCAGGGGGGGAGCUUCCGCCAUUGGCGGAAGUCUUACGGCGCAACGCCGCGUGGGUGAUGACGGCCUUCGGGUUGUAAAGCUCUGUUAAUCGGGACGCGGUACCGGAAUAGAAAGCCACGGCUAACUACGUGCCAGCAGCCGCGGUAAUUC
rnacentral:rRNA from 1 species